rnacentral:rRNA from 1 species
UGACACUGCGCCGAAAAUGUACCGGGGCUAAACAUAUUACCGAAGCUGUGGAUUGUCCUUUGGACAAUGGUAGGAGAGCGUUCUAAGGGCGUUGAAGCAUGAUCGUAAGGACAUGUGGAGCGCUUAGAAGUGAGAAUGCCGGUGUGAGUAGCGAAAGACGGGUGAGAAUCCCGUCCACCGAUUGACUAAGGUUUCCAGAGGAAGGCUCGUCCGCUCUGGGUUAGUCGGGUCCUAAGCUGAGGCCGACAGGCGUAGGCGAUGGAUAACAGGUUGAUAUUCCUGUACCACCUAUAAUCGUUUUAAUCGAUGGGGGGACGCAGUAGGAUAGGCGAAGCGUGCGAUUGGAUUGCACGUCUAAGCAGUAAGGCUGAGUAUUAGGCAAAUCCGGUACUCAUUAAGGCUGAGCUGUGAUGGGGAGAAGACAUUGUGUCUUCGAGUCGUUGAUUUCACACUGCCGAGAAAAGCCUCUAGAUAGAAAAUAGGUGCCCGUACCGCAAACCGACACAGGUAGUCAAGAUGAGAAUUCUAAGGUGAGCGAGCGAACUCUCGUUAAGGAACUCGGCAAAAUGACCCCGUAACUUCGGGAGAAGGGGUGCUCUUUAGGGUUAACGCCCAGAAGAGCCGCAGUGAAUAGGCCCAAGCGACUGUUUAUCAAAAACACAGGUCUCUGCUAAACCGUAAGGUGAUGUAUAGGGGCUGACGCCUGCCCGGUGCUGGAAGGUUAAGAGGAGUGGUUAGCUUCUGCGAAGCUACGAAUCGAAGCCCCAGUAAACGGCGGCCGUAACUAUAACGGUCCUAAGGUAGCGAAAUUCCUUGUCGGGUAAGUUCCGACCCGCACGAAAGGCGUAACGAUUUGGGCACUGUCUCAACGAGAGACUCGGUGAAAUCAUAGUACCUGUGAAGAUGCAGGUUACCCGCGACAGGACGGAAAGACCCCGUGGAGCUUUACUGUAGCCUGAUAUUGAAAUUCGGCACAGCUUGUACAGGAUAGGUAGGAGCCUUUGAAACGUGAGCGCUAGCUUACGUGGAGGCGCUGGUGGGAUACUACCCUAGCUGUGUUGGCUUUCUAACCCGCACCACUUAUCGUGGUGGGAGACAGUGUCAGGCGGGCAGUUUGACUGGGGCGGUCGCCUCCUAAAAGGUAACGGAGGCGCUCAAAGGUUCCCUCAGAAUGGUUGGAAAUCAUUCAUAGAGUGUAAAGGCAUAAGGGAGCUUGACUGCGAGACCUACAAGUCGAGCAGGGUCGAAAGACGGACUUAGUGAUCCGGUGGUUCCGCAUGGAAGGGCCAUCGCUCAACGGAUAAAAGCUACCCCGGGGAUAACAGGCUUAUCUCCCCCAAGAGUUCACAUCGACGGGGAGGUUUGGCACCUCGAUGUCGGCUCAUCGCAUCCUGGGGCUGUAGUCGGUCCCAAGGGUUGGGCUGUUCGCCCAUUAAAGCGGUACGCGAGCUGGGUUCAGAACGUCGUGAGACAGUUCGGUCCCUAUCCGUCGUGGGCGUAGGAAAUUUGAGAGGAGCUGUCCUUAGUACGAGAGGACCGGGAUGGACAUACCUCUGGUGUACCAGUUGUCGUGCCAACGGCAUAGCUGGGUAGCUAUGUGUGGACGGGAUAAGUGCUGAAAGCAUCUAAGCAUGAAGCCCCCCUCAAGAUGAGAUUUCCCAACUUCGGUUAUAAGAUCCCUCAAAGAUGAUGAGGUUAAUAGGUUCGAGGUGGAAGCAUGGUGACAUGUGGAGCUGACGAAUACUAA